UAUUUCCACAGAACCGAUAGUAAACAAGUACCGCGAGGGAAAGUUGAAAAGCACUCUGAAGAGAGAGUUAAAAGACCGUGAAACCGCUCAGAGUAUAAGCCAAUGGUUAUUCGGAAGGCAGGGUCCGGAUUCCACCCCAGCUGAGCUUUAUGCUGUUCCAGGGGCAAGGGUCCAUCGUUUUGUGUAAAGAAAGAAGGCGCUGAUGUGGUGAACAAACCUUAACGUGGCAUUGAGUUGAUAGCACACCNGAGGAUGAAAACUUGCGGGCCCAAGAGAGCAUGAAAAGAUGGAGGCUUCCACUCUGUGGAUGCUGAUAUCGUUCGGGCUUGUGCAAGCCGGCGUUUACCGCACACUGACGAGUGGACUACAUACUGCCCACCACAACUCUUUAUGAGGUCAGGCAUGCAAGACNUGGCUUGGUUGGUGCUCUGCGCGUUAAUCCAGCAUGGGGAUCUGGUGUACCGUAAGAAAACACAGCCCGGUAGCGCGCGCCUACAGCGCCCGUGGNGACCCCAUGCCGGCAGGCACUUCCAUGUCNACNGAGAAAAGCGUGUUAUUCUAUGAUCCUCUGUGAAGGUUGCUAUUCUGACGCCCCUAAUGCCUUGAGUCAUUGUCGAGAUGGCAGUGAUUAGGAGGAACCAGUAGCCUGCCCUAACCCGAUGAAUUUGCAAACAGGAACUGGCAGUUUUGCGAGGCCUGCUGCGAGGAGGAUGGGUG
rnacentral:rRNA from 1 species